AUUGACCGCUGGCGGCAGGCCUAACACAUGCAAGUCGAACGAGUGGCGGACGGGUGAGUAAUGUCUGGGAAACUGCCUGAUGGAGGGGGAUAACUACUGGACACGGUAGCUAAUACCGCAUACCAUCGGAUGUGCCCAGAUGGGAUUAGCUAGUAGGUGGGGUAAAGGCUCACCUAGGCGACGAUCCCUAGCUGGUCUGAGAGGAUGACAAGCCACACUGGAACUGAGACACGGUGCAGACUCCUACGGGAGGCAGCAGUGGGGAAUAUUGCACAAUGGGCGCAAGCCUGAGGCAGACAUGCCGCGUGUAUGAAGAAGGCCUUCGGGUUGGAAAGUACUUUCAGCGGGGAGGCGUUACCCGAAGAAGAAGCACCGGCUAACUCCGUGCCAGCAGCCGCGGUAAUAC
rnacentral:rRNA from 1 species